UUACUUUUUUUCCUUACAUAUCCGGAAGAAAAUUCAGAUGAAUUAUCUGGCGAACAACAAAGAAAACGCCACAAAUCUGAUAGUAUUUCCCUUUCCUUUGAUGAAAGCCUGGCUCUGUGUGUAAUAAGGGAGAUAUGUUGUGAAAGAAGCAGUAGCAGUGAAUCUACAGGGACGCCAUCGAAUCCGGAUCUGGAUGCUGGUGUAAGUGAACAUUCAAGUGAUUGGUUGGAUCACGAUUCAGUUUCAGAUCAGUUUAGUGUAGAAUUUGAAGUUGAAUCUCUCGACUCAGAAGAUUAUAGCCUUAGUGAAGAAGGACAAGAACUCUCAGAUGAAGAUGAUGAGGUAUAUCGAGUUACUGUGUAUCAGGCAGGGGAGAGUGAUACAGAUUCAUUUGAAGAAAAUCCUGAAAUUUCCUUAGCUGUAAGUAUAUAUCUACUCUUUUAAGAAAUCAAAAAAUUACAUUAAGG